rnacentral:lncRNA from 1 species
UCUAACCCUUCCCCUAAACACAAAACCUGAAUAAAUCACGUUUUUCAAAUCUGGACAGAACUCUAUGUACCUAGUAAACCUGAUGUGGACGAAAAUCCGUAACUCCGAUCGACCUAAAAAUUUGUCAGAUUAAACUAGAUGAAAUUACGAAACUAACCCAACUGGAAUCACGUCAAUCGGACUUACGGAUCUUGAGAUAAAAAUAAAACAAGCAGACUAUGUCAGAUGCUGACGAGAAUUGUAAAGAACCAAUCGAGAUGCACAAGAUCAAUCAUUAUAGAUGAAAGAUUAAAUCGAGUAAUUGAACUUACAAAAGUGCAUCUAGCCUCCGCCCGAACAUCCUCCCUCUCUUAAUCGGAGAGAUCAACAAAAACCUCUCACUAGAAUUCA